GUCGAACGAUGAAGCUGGAGCUUGCUCUGGUGGAUUAGUGGCGAACGGGUGAGUAACACGUGAGUAACCUGCCCUUGACUCUGGGAUAAGCGUUGGAAACGACGUCUAAUACCGGAUACGAGCUUCAGCCGCAUGGCUAGGAGCUGGAAAGAAUUUCGGUCAAGGAUGGACUCGCGGCCUAUCAGCUUGUUGGUGAGGUAAUGGCUCACCAAGGCGACGACGGGUAGCCGGCCUGAGAGGGUGACCGGCCACACUGGGACUGAGACACGGCCCAGACUCCUACGGGAGGCAGCAGUGGGGAAUAUUGCACAAUGGGCGCAAGCCUGAUGCAGCAACGCCGCGUGAGGGACGACGGCCUUCGGGUUGUAAACCUCUUUUAGCAGGGAAGAAGCGAAAGUGACGGUACCUGCAGAAAAAGCACCGGCUAACUACGUGCCAGCAGCCGCGGUAAUACGUAGGGUGCAAGCGUUGUCCGGAAUUAUUGGGCGUAAAGAGCUCGUAGGCGGUUUGUCGCGUCUGCUGUGAAAACGCGAGGCUCAACCUCGCGCCUGCAGUGGGUACGGGCAGACUAGAGUGCGGUAGGGGAGAUUGGAAUUCCUGGUGUAGCGGUGGAAUGCGCAGAUAUCAGGAGGAACACCGAUGGCGAAGGCAGAUCUCUGGGCCGUAACUGACGCUGAGGAGCGAAAGCGUGGGGAGCGAACAGGAUUAGAUACCCUGGUAGUCCACGCCGUAAACGUUGGGAACUAGAUGUAGGGACCAUUCCACGGUUUCUGUGUCGCAGCUAACGCAUUAAGUUCCCCGCCUGGGG
rnacentral:rRNA from 1 species